rnacentral:lncRNA from 1 species
UUAGGCGUAGAGGGACAUAAGUCGUAAUUGAUGUUAUUAUUGGCGUUCCGGCGCUGGAGUCUAGGCAGCAGCUUCUGCUUGGCGGCAGCUUUUCGGCGGCUUCCGCCGGAACUGGAGCCGAAAUCCAUGCUGGUUCUGUUUCUCCCUGAGCUAUGAAUUAAGAAUUUCUGUAUUUGAUGAAUUAUGGUAGGAAUCUAAAUCCAUGGUGUAAAAAAAA